AGUGAACGCUGGCGGCAGGCCUAACACAUGCAAGUCGAGCGGCAGCGCGGGGCAACUUGGCGGCGAGCGGCGGACGGGUGAGGAAUGCAUCGGAAUCUACCCUGUCGUGGGGAUAACGUAGGGAAACUUACGCUAAUACCGCAUACGACCGAGAGGUGAAAGUGGGGGACCGCAAGGCCUCACGCGAUUGGAUGAGCCGAUGCCGGAUUAGCUAGUUGGUGGGGUAAAGGCCCACCAAGGCGACGAUCCGUAGCUGGUCUGAGAGGAUGAUCAGCCACACUGGGACUGAGAUACGGCCCAGACUCCUACGGGAGGCAGCAGUGGGGAAUAUUGGACAAUGGGCGCAAGCCUGAUCCAGCCAUGCCGCGUGUGUGAAGAAGGCCUUCGGGUUGUAAAGCACUUUUGUUCGGGAAGAAAUCGUGCGGAUUAAUACUUCGUACGGAUGACGGUACCGAAAGAAUAAGCACCGGCUAACUUCGUGCCAGCAGCCGCGGUAAUACGAAGGGUGCAAGCGUUACUCGGAAUUCACUGGGCGUAAAGGCGUGCGUAGGCGGUUGGGUUAAGUCUGCUGUGAAAAGCCCUGGGCUCAACCCUGGGGAACUGCAGUGGAUACUGGCUANCUAGAGUGUGAUAGAGGAUGGUGGAAUUCCCCGGUGNACGGUGAAAAUGCGUAGAGAUCGGGAGGAACACCAGUGGCGAAGGCGGCCCAUCUGGAUCAUCACUGACGCUGAGGCACGAAAAGCGUGGGGGAGC
rnacentral:rRNA from 1 species